rnacentral:rRNA from 1 species
CAUGGUUGUCGUCAGCUCGUGUCGUGAGAUGUUGGUUAAGUCCCGCAACGAGCGCAACCCCUACGUUUAGUUGCUAACGCGUGAAGGCGAGCACUCUAGACGAACUGCCGUUGACAAAACGGAGGAAGGUGGGGAUGACGUCAAAUCAUCAUGCCCCUUAUGUUCUGGGCUACACACGUGCUACAAUGGCCGGUACAGACGGACGCAAAGCCGCGAGGUGGAGCAAAUCCUAAAAAGCCGGUCUCAGUUCGGAUUGCAGGCUGCAAUUCGCCUGCAUGAAGUCGGAAUCGCUAGUAGUCGCAGGUCAGCAUACUGCGGUGAAUACGUUCCCGGGCCUU